UAACGGAAUGCAUCGCUUGGGAAAUUAUAAAGUAGUGCUAUUCCCCUUGAGCGUAACUAAAAAAAUAUAACGUAUGAGUACUUAACUAAUUAAUUCUGUAGGAUGGGCGUCGCCGGGGGAUUAAAAAAUGUAAAAUAGAUAUCAAAACUACUUCGAACAAGACCAUAACAAUAGUAGCUGCUCCACCUAGAACUAGCCUAGACUGGCUGGCGACUCACGUGUUUUGUAGCAAAAUAUUUUCAUUAAAAGUAAUAGAAACAUCUUGGGUUUUCUUUUCCGAAAACUCAUUUUGAACUUGAUCCCAACUAAUUAGAGUAAUAUUGUCUUUAAAUCUUAGUAUAUUGCAGACCUAAAUUAAAAAUAGAGCAAACGUAAAAAUGUCCAAUUCAAUCAGCUGAGUUUGAUGUUUACAUGAAAAUAAAUAUAGCACGUAUCUCGCAUGGUACGUUUUUGUAUAUGUAAUGACGCAUCACGGCUCAAUGAUGUCAUGGGGCUGUGGAGGACAGCUAGGAUACACUGACAUCACUCGCAAACGUAGCUUCAUUGUAUUUACCUAUUUGAAGGCACAUCUAGCAACAAACAUUGCAUUGAUUUAAGAUUUUCAUAGAACGAUGCGAAAGCGAUUAUAUAAUAAACCAUAAGACAUAUCUCAGAACAUAUCGAGAUGACUAACGACAACAUAACACUCUCGGCUCCUUGAAUUGAAUGAGUCAUGAUACUGCACGACUAGACCCGAACCCCGCGGUUAUCAUAAAUUAUGAAUUGCUCCGAGAAUAAAUGAAUCAAUGUAUUUGUUACUGGUUUCCACUGUCGACACCACAUCGUAUUGCUUUAAUCAUAUAUGAAAAAACAGAGAUCACGACGUACGGGAGCUUCGACAAUGGAUACGCACGGUUACACUAGUAGUUAGGGAAAUAUAUUUUUAAGAUGUAGGAGUAUUCACUUCUGUUGAAUUAAGAAGGCAAAGCCGGAACGGAGCUGGCUAAUCUGAUCCUUUACCUUUUUGCAAUAAUUAAAUAGUUUUACAAAACAUGAGACUGAUAUGUGACGAAGUCAAAAUUUAUUUCAGAUGCCAAAAAUGUGAAGUCCAUAUUAAUUUGAUUAGGACCGAAAUUAGAGUUAAAACUUGCUGCUAUAUUUAAAUCCGUAAACAUAACUGUUCAAACUUACCAAUUGCAGUGACUAACAGAUUUGACUAUAACAAAAUUAACAAAGAAACAAUAACUAAGGCACUGAAUGGAAAGUGCUGGCAGUCUGUAAACAGACUGAUAAAAUUGCAAAGGUGUUUACCUACACAGAUAAACUAGUGCUAUUUUAUGAACAUUGUAAAAUUUUUUAAUAAAUUAAUUAUUGAUAAUUUAGGCAGAUUAUUCAGUUCACUUACACUCAAGAAGCUAUAAAUGACCUGUAGGCAUCCCUUAGCGUAGAUUUAGUAUAACUUAUCUAAGACAAAUUCUUAAGGAACCAUUGCAACCACUCUUGUGAAUAGUUAAAUCAUAUACUAUCUCUGUCUUAUGAAUAGAGUUAUGGAGAUCCCAAAGAUGUAACUCUAUUCUUCGGAGAGGUUAAUCAAGUGACUCUAGAUGCUAGUUCUACUUAUAAAGUAACAUAUUUUCUCUAUUGUCACUUUUAAACUCUUUGUGUAAAGUACUAAAUGAGUCAAUGAUGAUGUAAUUGUGAACAAAGUACAUCAUUAAACUCAUAUUUGUGUUAUCAUUCAAAGUGCUAUAAUAUAUAGUUGAUUAAACUGAUAAGUUAGAGUAUCAUGUUCAUUUAUAUGCAUUUCAAGGUUUGUCCAUUGUAUUGAGAAAGGUGUCAAGUUUAAAAUUAUACAAACAUUGUUCAAAUGCCUUCUUUAAGCUAAUUUCACAUUGGAAUUGAUGGCGAACAACCUCCUCGUGCACUAAAUCUUCAGUUAUUAUCAGGGCAUUUUGUUUAAUAAUUUGCAGGAGAUUUAACCUAUUUUUACUAUGGAUGUUGUCAAGGAAUUCCUUGAAAUUGAAAGUUCAAUUAAUUGUUAAUAAAUUUGUAAUUGGAAUAGUUCCAAAAUAUAUUAUUAUAAAUUAUAAAAGGAAGUCUAAUUAUUUAGUGUUAAUCCAUGUAUAUUUGAAGAUAAUUUUGUACUUACAAUACUAGUAAAACAUAACAUAAAUGAUUGAUUUCAACUUAAAUAUUUUCCCCAUUGAUACCUUUGAUUUAUAAAUGCUGUAUUAAAUUUUUAUAAAAGUCAAAAAGUCUAGAAAAGAAUAGUUAAAACAUGGGGUUCCUUUAUUACUAAUAAAUUAUAUUAGCAUGCAAUGUAAUCAUUUGGAAGAUAAAAUUUUACACAAACAA